UGCAUUUUCAGCUGCAAAACUAAACUCAGUGGAGGAUCUCUACAGCCUUUCAUUACCCAGAGUGAACAGGGUGUACGCAUCUUGCACAAGAGGGAGUACAGACAUAGAGAGGUACCCCAAGUUCUUCUCUCCUCUCACCUGGAAGCUAGCUCAUCUUUGCCUCUGAAGAAUGAAGCUCCCUCGCUGACUUACGAUCUCUCGCUGCAAACUGAGGUUUCCUGCUGGCUUCCUCCGGGUCCCCAGUGGGCUAGCCGUGCCUUCAGGAAGCCUUCAGAGCAGAACUCUACUCCACGGUUCCCAGGCAGUUUAGGCUGGGUUGCUACGGACUCAGUCCCCAAGGAGCCUGUGGGAGCAGCUGCUGGAGCCCCAGUCCCAGAGGAAGCUGUUGAUUUCUCAGAGCCUGGAGUGCUGUUGUCCAAGAGGCGAAUUAGACAACAGCAGUAUUAGGAAGCUUUGUAAGUCUCGGUCACCUCGGCAAGCCCCUCAUACCUCGACUAGCCACGCCCAACAACUGGGAAUAUAAAGGAAGAAUUUCUUCCAAUCAGAGAGUCACUUUGAGAACUUGCAUUGGAACUGUGAUGAGAAUGAACAUGGAAGUCACACACAGGGCUGUACGUUCUGCUUUCCUGGUGAGACCUUUUUCCCUUGGGGACUUCCUGAAUGAGACAGGACCAUGGGCUUUCUAACUACGAGGGCUAUGCCUUUUAGAAGGCACCCAAUUUAAACACUGUGGUCUCAGCAUCUCCCACUACCACACAGAGUAUCAUAGUUUAGCCUUACUGCUUGCCUGCAAUAGGUUAGACAUUGUCCUAAAUGUUCCAUGGCUCAUCUCACUUCAUAUCCAUAUGUACUAUAGGUUGGGAGUGUUAUGUCCUCCUUGUCAAAUGUACCUGGGAAGUAAAUCUACCUUGUAGGCUGUUCGGAAGGUUCCGUGGUCACAAUUGUUACACAUUUAAUUGGUACCCGAUACCGAGCGUCUUAUCUCAUUUUAAAGGGGAUGAGACAAAACAUGGGUUACAGAUAGCCUAGGAUUUGAACCUGGUAUUUGGAUGUAAGAACCCAUGCCUUUAAUCACUACACCUACCAUCUCCUUCUAUGGCUUAAGCCUCCUCCAAGAAAUGGAGCCAUCUCUUGGAACAGGCCAAAAAUGAUGUCCUACCCCGUGUGGAACUAGAAACAGAAAGUGAGAGAAGAUACAAAAGUCUAUGAUUUGGCAAGAAAGCUGACUAAAGUCGGGGCCUGAGGGAAAGGGGACGCUUUGGGACCCGCAAACUCAAGAACAUAUGUGUCUCCAGGAAUUCAGGUCCUGGGUGCACACUCAGUCUCAGUGACUGCAGGUGGCACACAAAAGUUGUUGUUCCUAGGUUACAGGGGCA